UCUGGGCAGAAGAUCCUCCUGGGAUCCUCACUGGUGUGCCAGGAAGAAGCCUGCAGGACCUGCUGAGGAGCCUGGACUUAGCCUGGAGGAAUCAGAGCCUCUUGGAAUUGUCAGCGCUGGAAGGGACCCUGAGGAGCAUCCAGUUGCAAGCCCCCUGCCAGAGGCAGAGACUCCUCACCCUGGGUGUAGGUAUUGUCAUGGAAUCAACCAGGCUGGAAGAGACCUCCAAGCUCAGCCAGUCCAACCUAGCACCCAGUUCUGUGUACUGUGCUAAGCUGUAAAUAUAAAGCUUCAUUCCCA